rnacentral:pre_miRNA from 1 species
GAUGUACUCCCUCUGUCCGGAAAUACUUAUCAUCAAACUGGAUAAAAGGGGAUGUAUCUAGAUGUAUUUUAGUUUUAGAUACAUCUUUUUUUAUUCAUUUUGAUGACAAGUAUUUUCGGACGGAGGGAGUACUAU